rnacentral:rRNA from 1 species
GUAGGUGGCAAGCGUUGUCCGGAAUUAUUGGGCGUAAAGCGCGCGCAGGCGGUUCUUUAAGUCUGAUGUGAAAGCCCACGGCUCAACCGUGGAGGGUCAUUGGAAACUGGAGAACUUGAGUACAGAAGAGGAAAGCGGAAUUCCACGUGUAGCGGUGAAAUGCGUAGAGAUGUGGAGGAACACCAGUGGCGAAGGCGGCUUUCUGGUCCGUAACUGACGCUGAGGCGCGAAAGCGUGGGGAGCAAACAGGAUUAGAUACCCUGGUAGUCCACGCCGUAAACGAUGAGUGCUAAGUGUUAGGGGGUUUCCGCCCCCCUUAGUGCUGCAGCUAACGCAUUAAGCACUCCGCCUGGGAGUACGGCCGCAAGGCUG